ensembl:lncRNA
GUGUUGUUUCUGGCUUCAAAACAUGCAUGUGACUUUAUCUUUGGAAGGUAAGGAAUCAACUGGGAAAGUAGCAUUCAAUUUUAGAAAUAUGAAAUACUUCAAUUGUUAAUUAGAACGAAACAAAAAUGAGGAAGUCCUCUCUUGUUGCAGGUGUGGAGAACGGCUUGUUGUAAUUUAAGAACAGAAUACAAAUAAAACACAUUCAAGUUCUGUGACAGUAUGUGACAAUUGAUUUCCAAAGAAAAAAAUACAUUCCUUCUUUUCGUCCCUGAGUAUUAUCCCUGUUCCAAUGGGAGUUUAAGUUAAUAAAUGUCGGACUAGGCAGAUGAGGUCACAGUUCACUAAAACACAGACCACACAGGUGCUAUUUUCUCUCUUCUGUGGUGCUAUGUAAUAUUUUCUAUUUUGUACUGUCUGAUUGAAAUUGUAGAUGACUGCCCUUUCACUAUUGUUGAGCUGCAUUGCUGUGGUGUGUGCAUGCCACUUGCCUGCCUAUCUACAUACUGGCCAGUGCAACUUGUCCAGAGUGUACCUGCUUCGGUGACCCGUAUUUGGCGAAUGGCAAAUGAUGAUGUUGGUUUUGAUUAUGGCUGUUUCAAGAUGCUGCAUUCUGGGCUUGUCGCUGGCUGGUAUGUGCCCGUCAUCGGUGCCACAACAAGGAGUGGACGUGCCAAAUUGAUUUUCCCCAAACCCUUCCAACCAAAGUGUUUCGUGUAUAUUUUAAAAUCUAUUUUUGUAUGUAAAAACUACUUGGAAAAAAAAGAAUCUGUACUUAUUAAUGAAUCAAUAAAUGUCACCAAAUUAGCGACGCAAAUACGUAUGUAACACCAAAUACUGCUUGUUGUGCUCCUUUUGCCAUGUUCUGAUGCUCAAUUUAAACUAUGCACUCUUUUUGCUUAUGACCACUAGUAUUGACCACAGAGUUGACCCCCUGCAUAGGAUUGCUUUUUUAACAUAAAAUGAGAGACUUGAACAGUGUCUGUUUAGUGAACUCCAUGCUUGUAGAUUCCUGGUAUUAUUUUUCAUUGUCAUGCAGUACGCUCUUAAUCAGACAGAUCCUUUUGUAAAUUUCUCAAACCAGCCAAGGCUGCCAUCGUUUCUGGUGUUUGUAGAUUUCUAUGUGGUUGUUUGUUUGUUUGUUUUCACAAUCUUGUCAAACCUGUGUAAGAAUAGGAGGAUAAAAGAUAUUUGGUUUUUAUGUCAAUAAAUUCAAGUUUACUGUGGCCAUCCACUCUUGUAUGUCUUUUGAAGCAUUAAACCCUAUCUGUAUGCAUGAAACUGUAAAGUUUUUUUCUCUUGUUAUAUUGUGCCAUGACAUGAUCUCAUGUUCAUGUUUUCUAAUCAGGAUAUAGCGGCUUUUCCAUUGCUACCGAUAAACCAAAGGAUCAUGUCCAAAAUUGUGAAGUGCAGAGAAAAUGAUGAACUUGUAACUCUACCAAAGACAAUGUUUUUGUAGUAUAUUUAUUGUACUAUUUAAAAUCAAUAAAUGUAAAAUGAGACCA